UACGUAGGGGGCGAGCGUUGUCCGGAUUUAUUGGGCGUAAAGAGCUCGUAGGCGGUUUGGCAAGUCGGGUGUGAAAACUCCGGCUCAACUCGGAGACGCCACUCGAUACUGCCAUGACUCGAGUCCGGUAGGGGAGUGCGGAAUUCCUGGUGUAGCGGUGAAAUGCGCAGAUAUCAGGAGGAACACCGAUGGCGAAGGCAGCUCGCUGGGACGGUACUGACGCUGAGACGCGAAAGCGUGGGGAGCAAACAGG
rnacentral:rRNA from 1 species